rnacentral:rRNA from 1 species
CUUUCCCUCUGGCGGCAGGCCUAACACAUGCAAGUCGAGCGGAUGAAGGGAGCUUGCUCCUGGAUUCAGCGGCGGACGGGUGAGUAAUGCCUAGGAAUCUGCCUGGUAGUGGGGGAUAACGUCCGGAAACGGGCGCUAAUACCGCAUACGUCCUGAGGGAGAAAGUGGGGGAUCUUCGGACCUCACGCUAUCAGAUGAGCCUAGGUCGGAUUAGCUAGUUGGUGGGGUAAAGGCCUACCAAGGCGACGAUCCGUAACUGGUCUGAGAGGAUGAUCAGUCACACUGGAACUGAGGCACGGUCCGGACGCCUACGGGAGGCAGCAGUGGGGAAUAUUGGACAAUGGGCGAAAGCCUGAUCCAGCCAUGCCGCGUGUGUGAAGAAGGUCUUCGGAUUGUAAAGCACUUUAAGUUGGGAGGAAGGGCAGUAAGUUAAUACCUUGCUGUUUUGACGUUACCAACAGAAUAAGCACCGGCUAACUUCGUG